UACGUAGGGGGCAAGCGUUGUCCGGAAUCAUUGGGCGUAAAGCGCGCGUAGGCGGCCAGAUAAGUCCGGUGUAAAAGCCCCAGGCUCAACCUGGGAAUGCCGCCGGAAACUGUCUGGCUAGAGUCCGGAAGGGGCGAGUGGAAUUCCCGGUGUAGCGGUGAAAUGCGCAGAUAUCGGGAGGAACACCAAUGGCGAAGGCAGCUCGCUGGAACGGUACUGACGCUGAGGCGCGAAAGCGUGGGGAGCGAACAGG
rnacentral:rRNA from 1 species